AUGGACAUUAAUCACCUUCAAAAACACCGAAGGAGACUUUCUAAGGCAGAGGAGUGUGUACUGUCCCUGAGGUCAACAAAGGUCAGCCAGAAGUGCUCAGGCCUCCUGGCUACUAUGUACAGUGGGGUGCAUCCGGCUGGAUGACCCACCAUGAGAAGACUUGGUGAGCUGCUGCCGUGAAGAAAUGAGGGUCAAGUUUCCUCUGUGGCUGGAGAAGACAUGAGGACAUUCUGCUGUCCAUUCAGUGACCAGACAAACUAGGUGAUGCCAGAGGCCUUGCGAACAGUUGGCAAGGCUUUCGUGAUUCCUUCUUCCCAGGUUUCAGGGGAACUCUUCAAGAGGGUCCCAGCCAUGAAGACUCCACGCCAGAGGAGCCUAUUCCACACAGACUCCCCACAAGGGCAAGUUUGUGAGGAAAAAGAGAGGAGAACGUGGGAAGAAGGGCCAGACCCAGCCGUGCUGAUGCCCAUUCUGAACCUGGUUUCCGGGACUCCACCCAGGCAUGUGGCCCUGGGAGGUCAAGGCGUGGGAGGGAGGAGAGGUGAAGUCACCCCAACUCAACUUGGGAGAUCUGGUCAUUGCUCUCUUGACCUUCUGAGUAUCUUCUUUCCUUCAAAGUCAGUAGGAUUAGUCUGACCCAUUCCCCAAGCUCCCGGUACAGCCCCGUAUUACCUAGUUCUCCCCACACCUCGGGGCUGUCCUCUUUCUGCUGUCCCCGGCCGUGUGAUGUCCCUGGGGCCCCAGGGGCACUUCCUGGGAGAUGAAGAUCACAUAAAAUACAGGGAAAUGAUGGGAAAACCCACUUCCUGCCCAUCCUGAGCCCCAGAAUGCUGGACACAAGCCCAGGCAGGCCUUCCUCUGUCUGUCCGUCCAUCGGCUCACUGGAGGCCACCAUGCUGUUUUGCGGGACUGGGUAGGAAGUGGAUGUGAACUAGCCAGCCGCAGACAGGCAGCAUCUCCUCUCACCCGGAGGCUGAUUUCCAGAGCUUGUAGGUAACAGAUCGGCCAGCAUGAGUCUAGCAGAAUGCGCUGGUCAUGAACUUCACUUGCGCUGGGCUAACGGCUGGCAUCAAUGUUUCAGGGGAGGCAGAAUCACUUCUGCGCAGGGGACCUUCCGAUGGCUUACUUAGAGCAGUAUCCUUUCUGCUGCCUCAGUUAGACCUGCUCGGCUUUUCUGAGGUUCCAAGUGUUUCUUGUGUUCAGACAAGUCCUGCCAACUUAAGGAUGCAGGCAGAGACUUGGAGCAAUGGAGGGCUUCCAGGCAGAGCCCCUUCGCAAUUAGAGUAUAGUUUUAAUAGAGGAAGGAACAAUGUAUCAUGGGUGAAGAUAGAUGAACGUCGUCCGUGGGCCAACACGUGGUUUAGGAACAGAUUAAUGGCGUUGGCAGAAUCAGCUCAUGAGGUGAGGAAAUUCAGGCCAAGAAUAAGGCCAAACUCUCCUCCUCUCAUUUAAGCCUGUGAUGCACUCUCCCAAGAGCGCAGAGACUGGCAAGCAACCCCACAGCUGCACCGCACUUGUGUCUGUGCAAGGACUCAGACCCUCGCCCUCACGUAAUGCGACACUCCAUCCCCAGAUCUGGGGGAGCAGUGACCAGGGGCCCAGGAGGGAGAGGUGGCCCCUGAGACCACAGCAGGAAAUCCUGACUCGGAGGAGUGGGAGGUCCAGGAAUGUGGGUCAGGCUGAGAUGCAAAUCCAGCCAGCACUCAUUCUCACCAUAAACCACGCGUCUGCUUUCUUCUCUAUGGAUUUCCGUAUUCUGGGCAUUUCAUAUAAAGGUUCACACAUAGGGGGUCUUUUAUGUCUGGCUUCCUUCACGGAGCAUAAGUUUUCAAGUUCUGUGCCACGGCAUGAUCUGGCCUUGGGUUGGGGGUGUUAGUCCUUGAAACAACAAACCCAGCUACUAGCAGGUAUUCGUGUCCCCGUCUCCCUGCCAUUGUUAGGGGUUUGGUAGCUUUUUAAGGGCAAAAUGAUUUAAUAGCUGGACAUUUGCACAUCCAAGUCCCAUUUUUCCUUCCUAUGGUUUAGCUCAGAUUUUCACACUUCCAGUUGCACAACAGUUGGUGCACAGGGAUGUAUGUGAAUAAAUGCAAA